GCCGCAUUGUGGCAGGACCCCACAGUCUGUUUCUGUGCUGGGAGGAGGAGGGGAACAGCAGCAGCAGCAGAAGCAGAAGCAGCAGCAGCAGCAGCAGCAGCAGCAGCAGCAGCAGCAGUAGUAGUAGUAGUAGUAGUAGUAUAGUAGUAGUAGUAGUAGUAGUAGUAGUAGUAGUAGUAGUAGUAGUAGUAGUAGUAGUAGCAGCAGCAGCAGCAUUGAGCAGUGGUGGUGGUGGUGGUGUCAGUGGUGCAGCUGUCCACUCCUCCACAGCUGCUGCCUUGCCUCAACAUGCUGUGUCUUCCCUCACCUGCAAUGAACAGCACUGAACAACACCUCUCCUAUGAUGAAUAACACUGAGUAUCACCUCUUCCCUGCAUCAACAACACUGAACAACACCUCUCCUGUGAUGAACAACAUUGAGUAACAUCUCACCCCUGCAUCAACAACACUCAACACCUGCUUCACUUCACACUCAUUCAUGCUAGCCUUACCCCCCUCCCCCUCUCUCUCUCUCUCUCUCUCUCUCUCUCUCUCUCUCUCUCUCUCUCUCUCUCUUUUCUCUCUCUCUUUUCUCUUCUCUUCUCUUCUCAGCCCACAGCUCCACAGUAUGUUCUCCACAGUGACUCCCCACAGCCCCUCACCAAUAAGUGUCACACACACACACACACACACACACACACACACACACACACACACACACACACACACACACACACACACACACACACACACA